AUCCUUGGAGAGGCCCGGGCAAGGCAAGCGCAUCAUUCCGCACGCCUCGCACCCAGCCUUUGCUCGGCGAUGCGCCUCAGCCCUGGCCCGGGUACCCCGAACCCUGGGGUCUUUCUGGAUAUUGCCCUGCCUCGAGCCCAGAUGCUGGAAUCCUAAUACAGAACCCAGAACCCAUCUCUCCGUCCAAAUCAAUGAUCAGCGGCCCCCCAGAGCUAAUGUUCCUGGGCGGGGCUCGGAGAAGGCAGCUUCGCAGGCAGAACGCGCGCUCCUCGCUGCCCCAGGCGCCGCUGGUACGAACCCUCCCCUACCCAGGGCUCAUCCACAGCCUGGCACAUCGGUCCGCGACUCUGGGGCUGCCUCCGGGAACCUGGGCCGCGCCUGCCGGUUAGAAACCCGGGGUUAAGAAAAAAGCCAAGGUUCCUCCAUCCCGGGCCAGGCAGGGCUGCUCUCCCGGUCCUGCCUGCCUGCUGGCUUUCCCUUCCUCCUCCUUUGCGCCUGUUUUUCCCCCUCCUUCGCAGUCUCGUCCUUGUUCUUCCCUCUCUUAAGUCGCUUUUCCUCAAUCACACCGGGCCAACACCCUCCCCACCGCACGCCCCCCAAGACAGCCUGGGAUUCAAAAUGCAGUUGGAACACGGAUCACUUGAAAGAAAGCUCUUCAGGGGAAAGAAUUGGAAUGAAAUGAAAAGAAAGGGUGGAGGAGAGAGAGAGACCCCACCCGGAUAGUCCAGAACAAGCAGUAACAAAGCAAAGUCCGAGGGAGCUUCACGCUCAACCCCCGGCCAGGCUCCAGAGCUGAAGUUCUCCUAACUCGUCCCAAGAAUAGGUAAAAGAAACCAAGCUAGGGGCCGUGCCCUGCCCCCAUCCUGUGGGCCGGGUUGGGGGAGGGGGGGUUCUCCAGCGGCCAGAAGCUCACUGGCUCUACCCGGGACCCUGAGCUGCCUAGGGCUGGGGGAGGCGUCCGAGCAGUCGCGGAGCCUGCCAGACCCUCGGCUAGAAUGGGGACCCGCUGUCCAGCCGAGGCUGGCGGAGGCGCACCGGGGGCGCAGAGGGCGAUGCUAGUAGUCUGGACCCAAAGGACUGCAGGAAGGAGACCGUGAGGAAGCGUCUGUGCCUGGGAAGCCCCAGCUCCUGCUUGGGCCAGGCAGCCAGCACCUACCUGAUCCCGGGGAACCGGAGUCCGGCGGCGGCAGGUGAGCUGUAGACGCUGCUGUGCAUGAUUAUCCCAUAGACCAGCAGGGCCAGCCUCGCUCCGCUACACAUGGUCAUUCUGCGCAGGAUGGGAAAGAGGACACACAGCUGUGAGAACGCCCCUGGCCUCCCACCCUCCAACCCCAAAAAGCUCUGGAAGCCGGGGGAGGGACGGAGCGAAGCCCCGGCUCCCUGAGUUGAACAGCACUUGGCGACAGCCGGUGCGCGCCCUGCCACUUCUUGCUUGCUAUAGUUAGAAAAAAAUAUAUAUAUAUGCAUCUACCCGGCGCCCAAUAACUAGCCAGACCCGGCUGAAGGAAAGCUAACUCCCCUGACGCGAUGCCAAGCGAAAGAAUCAGCAGUCGAGUGAGCCGGUCGCUUUGUCACGUAAUGAUCGGGUAUCAGAAAAAGACGUCAGCAUCCUAGUCCCUCAAGGAACAUAUUAACUAUUCUGUGCUGUCCUCUUGGAUGAUAAGAUCCGGAGUCAUCGACUUCUCAUAAACACCUUUCACUCAUACAAUCCAAUUUUUAAGAAGUCCAAUUGUUUUGAUGGUUUUCAAUUUCACCCGUUUCUCAAGGACAGGUAAAGAAUUUUUAGAAUUUUGAGGAUGACAAAAGUUAUGUUUUUAACUAUAUAAUUACGAUUUCUCUUUACUUUUUCAUCAAGCCUCACCAAUCAGAGCUCUGGUCUCUGGAAUUAAGCAUCAUCAAGCUCUCCUAUUAAUAAAUUUAAUUUAGAUCUCCUAAUUUCUUGCGUAUGUUCUUUCAGAUAGACCAUUAAAUGUGGAAGUCGUUUUGUUUUUAAAGGGAAGUCUUGGAGGAUUUUCAGUAAAUCUCUCCUGAGUCUGGCUGCCGUUGACAGUAGGGCUAUGAGUAGAUUGAUGAGAGCUCAUGCUGCCUCCGGAGCGCGGCCUGCGGAGCUGUCCAGACUCCGGGUGCUGAAGUGUAGGGUAACAGAUGCUACAAACGUUGAAAAUUGCCACCGGUUUAAUUUUUCACCAGAGCCUCUAAAUUUGAAGAUUUGGCAGUAGUGCUAUUAACGUGGCGAUUCAUCGCCUAAAUCACCCCCACCGUUCAGAUACAUCCUUUCCCUCUUGUAGCGUCCAUAAAUGCCCUAAUGCUGAGAAUGCUCCCCAUCCCUGCCUGGAUUUGAGGAAAAAGCAUUCUGUCCCCCGUUAGUCCUGGCUUUUGGAUUUCUAGACCGGCUGUUUGGCUACUUUCACACCUUCUGUGGCUCUUACAGAUUUUAAAAAUUGAUGUUGUGAAAUUGUGUUUUCCACAAGAAGUGAAAUUUUAAGAAUUUGGGGGCGAGAAAUAUGUUUUUCCACUUUGUUUACAACUUCAGCUCUGUUUGGGAGACACAGACAGACUGGGAAAGCAUGAGGGUUCCCAGUACAAGUUCACCUGAUGAAGGUUUCUAACAGGAAUCCCUCUGCUGGAAACAGUUAAUUUUUUUAACUGAAAAUGAUGUGGGAAGAGGAAAGCAAUAAGGGAAGACCAUAUCCACCCAGAGGCUUCCAAUUUCCUGGGUAAUUGAAGAAGGUUCAUAUAUUUCUACUCCAGUAAGAGAACUCAGGUCUAUUUCUUUAAAAAAAAAAAAAAGAAGAAGAAGAAAGAAAGAAAGAAAAUAGAGCCAUCAAUAACCAUUAGAGUGCAUUUUAAUUAUUUGGAUCUUACACAAAAAUUAGGGGAAAUUCCAGUUUAGUGGGAGGGUUUCCUGUUACUACGAUUUGGAUCUCACAUUUAAAUAAGCUAUAUUAGUUCUGCAUGCUUUUUCCAAGAUAUUAUAUUUCUCCUUCUAAAUGCUGUUCCUGCUCUUAUUUGAGAUUUAAUACUUCCUCCUUCUUAAAAAAAAAAACUAAGUUUUGUUUAUUCCUGGCCAUGAAUGACCGAAAACUGUCUGCUUCCUCUUAGUUUAUUCCUGGCCGUGCUUCAGAUUGUCUGCCUUCAAUAAAGCUUCAAACCACA